UGGGGAAUCUUGGACAAUGGGGGCAACCCUGAUCCAGCCAUGCCGCGUGAGUGAUGAAGGCCUUAGGGUCGUAAAGCUCUUUCGCCUGUGAAGAUAAUGACGGUAGCAGGUAAAGAAACCCCGGCUAACUCCGUGCCAGCAGCCGCGGUAAUACGGAGGGGGUUAGCGUUGUUCGGAAUUACUGGGCGUAAAGCGCACGUAGGCGGACCAGAAAGUUGGGGGUGAAAUCCCGGGGGCUCAACCCCGGAACUGCCUCCAAAACUAUUGGUCUAGAGUUCGAGAGAGGUGAGUGGAAUUCCAAGUGUAGAGGUGAAAUUCGUAGAUAUUUGGAGGAACACCAGUGGCGAAGGCGGCUCACUGGCUCGAUACUGACGCUGAGGUGCGAAAGUGUGGGGAGCAAACAGGAUUAGAUACCCUGGGUAGUCCACACCGUAAAACGAUGAAUGCCAGUCGUUGGGGGGCGUAGCCCUUCAGUGACGGCCGCUAACGCAUUAAGCAGACCGCCUGGGGAGUACGGCCGCAAGGUU
rnacentral:rRNA from 1 species